UCAACACCGCCGAACAAGUCGAGAUGAAAGCUGAUUCGCUGGAAGCGAAAAACGUCACUUCCGCAAGUUCCUUAAGUACGUGAGACACACGUUCCUCAACCGCUUUUUUCUCGAUCGUUGGAGCGUAAGCAGCUGGAGCUUGUUUCUUUUGUGGGGGCUUAAAAAGCUUGUUUUGUUGUUCUGUUUUAACCACUAGAUGAUUGUUGUUCAAUCAUUUACUUUUUGGUAACCAAAGACUAACAUUUUUUUGGUAAUGUGUCUUGAAUUCACGACGAUGAAAGGAAACUACCAGAAGGACGUCAAGGCCGCGCCUGAUCACAAGAAAAAGUGGUCAAAAUCAAAGAGGAGGACUUUCCUGCGCGCAAAUAUGGGAGAAAGGAGGCGAAAGGUCCGCGUUUGGUCGGGCAAGAGACCCCAGCCGAGUCCGGACCGUGUCGACGGUACCGCUGACGUCACGGGGAAGCAGAGUUACGUACCAUCUGUAGCCAUGGCACCGAGAAACACGACGCAGUAUUUAAUGGACCUGGCGUACGCGGACCUAUUAGAUGUUUUUGAUGUAAGCCAUGACUUCUUAACGCAGACUAACGUUAAUGUCUCAUCUGACGAGAGCGUUUUCUCAAUGUCGGACUCUGAUUACGACAGAUCUCUGGACUUCCAACAGAGAGACUUCGAGAACGUGUUCUUCAGGAAUGAAAUCUGACGCGUUUCCGAAACCUGACUUGGAUUUCGUCGCAGCGAGACGACUGGGCGGCCGUGACCCCAUAGACAGUAACAUCAUUGCGCAGACUCCAACUCAGGGAGGCGGAACGUGCUGCGUCACGGCUGCGUGAUGACGUGUACACCACGCCCCGCCCCCAGUACGGCCACGACCACGUGGCCAGCAGGUAAACCCGCUCCACCCUUUGUGUACGCGGUGUAAAAGCGCUGCAGUAGCGUUCUGUCGCAGUGUAAUUACUGAGAAAUGUGCAUGCAUUGUUCUGCCAACGGCUGCAUGUGUGUUUUGGAAGACUUUUACAGGUUGCUGAUCCUCCUCGGUGGAUCUCAGCUGUCUGUGCAGCCCACCCAGAGCCUUGGGAACAGCCGCAUGGCUGCCUGCUCAUCGCUGCAGGGUAACUGUGGUAAAUCUACACAAGUGCACUCAGAGAUACAACUCAUGUGAUAUGAUCUACUUUGAGAACUUUUGUAAAUAUUGAUUGUAUUAACUAUUAAAAAUUUGUUAAUUAAGUUA